GCAGAAAGCCUCUCUGGGGAGGAACUGUGCCCAUCCUCAGCGCCUGGAGCCCCCAAGGCUCAGCCUGCCACCCCUGGGCUAGGCAGCAGGAUCCGGGCCAUCCAGGAGUCUGUUGGGAACAGAAGCACUGCCUGCUGGAGCUGGGUGCUCGGGGUGUGCGGGAGCUGGUGCAGAACGAGAUCUACCCCAUCGUCAUCCACGUGGAGGUGACUGAGAAGAAUGUCCGGGAAGUCAGGGUCUGCUGGGCCGGCCGGGCUGGCGGGACUCAGAGCUGCUGCGGCAGUGCCGUGGCUCAGAGCAGGUGCUCUGGGGGCUGCCCUGCUCCUGGGUGCAGGUGCCCGCCCAUGAGUGGGGACACGCAGAGGAGCUGGCCAAGGUGGUG
rnacentral:lncRNA from 1 species